GGAGGGGUGGCCGAGAGGCUGAAGGCGACGGUUUGCUAAACCGUUUUAGGAUUUAACUCCUAACGUGGGUUCGAAUCCCAUCCCCUCCG
rnacentral:tRNA from 1 species